AAUCCAGGGACCCAAGAAAUAUUCUGGGGGCCUGUGUUUGAAUCAUGCCACAACAGAUGGUGGAACCUAAAUUUAAGUAGAUAUUGGGAAUUAAUGAAACCAUUCCUGUCUGGAUUCACUAAUGUCCUUCAGGGAAGGAAAUAAAGGCUUGGAAUUGGCCCUAGGGAACUCCUUUCUGAUCCAUUAUAUAGGGGAAAAUGGUGGCCUUUUGAUGUCACUGGUCUAGUGACAGGGUUCAAUGUGAGGCUGGGUUGCAUGUGUGGGGUUGUGGUGUAGGGUUAGGCAUGAGCAAAUUCUAGAAAGAUGUUGUUUGUUGGAACCAUAAACAUUUAAAUUCAGCAAAAUCCAUUCCAAAGCAAUAAAUCAGCCACUUAAGAGCAUUUAAAGUGCUAAAUAGUAGACCUAGUUAAUAGAACCUUUUUUUUUCUUUUUUUGAUUAUCAAGAACUCCAGCUAGAGAGCUGGGCUGUCUUGCACUCUUCUCUGGGGCAAUUAGAGAUGAUGGGCAACAUUUUAGUGUUUUUUUUUUCAUUAAUCCUGUUUUGCAUUCUUCCCUUUUUUUUCAGAUUUAUACAGAGAAGGAUAAAAGCUUAAAAUGAUGCACUAUAAUGAGUUGCAGGAAACCAAGCCAGACAUGCUAUCUUCCUGUGACUACAGCAGAAGUGAGAGAAAGUGUGAACAACUUCCUUUUGUGAAGCUAUCAUUGCCUGCAGCAGGCCAGUCAGCUUGUGCAGUCCUGCUACUUGGUAGAUUUCUUUCUUGGAGUUGAGGGGUUAAGCUGUAUUUGGGUUGAGUGUUUUUUGAGAUUUUUAUUAUCUGUACCCGUAAUAAAGUCAGCCUGAUGGUGUUGUUACCUUUA